CUUGGUCAUUUAGAGGAAGUAAAAGUCGUAACAAGGUCUCCGUAGGUGAACCUGCGGAGGGAUCAUUACAAGUGACCCCGGUCUAACCACCGGGAUGUUCAUAACCCUUUGUUGUCCGACUCUGUUGCCUCCGGGGCGACCCUGCCUUCGGGCGGGGGCUCCGGGUGGACACUUCAAACUCUUGCGUAACUUUGCAGUCUAAGUAAACUUAAUUAAUAAAUUAAAACUUUUAACAACGGAUCUCUUGGUUCUGGCAUCGAUGAAGAACGCAGCGAAAUGCGAUAAGUAAUGUGAAUUGCAGAAUUCAGUGAAUCAUCGAAUCUUUGAACGCACAUUGCGCCCCCUGGUAUUCCGGGGGGCAUGCCUGUUCGAGCGUCAUUUCACCACUCAAGCCUCGCUUGGUAUUGGGCAACGCGGUCCGCCGCGUGCCUCAAAUCGACCGGCUGGGUCUUCUGUCCCCUAAGCGUUGUGGAAACUAUUCGCUAAAGGGUGUUCGGGAGGCUACGCCGUAAAACAACCCCAUUUCUAAGGUUGACCUCGGAUCAGGUAGGGAUACCCGCUGAACUUAAGCAUAUCAAUAAGCGGAGGAAAAGAAACCAACAGGGAUUGCUCUAGUAACGGCGAGUGAAGCAGCAAUAGCUCAAAUUUGAAAUCUGGCGUCUUCGACGUCCGAGUUGUAAUUUGUAGAGGAUGCUUCUGAGUAACCACCGACCUAAGUUCCUUGGAGCAGGACGUCAUAGAGGGUGAGAAUCCCGUAUGCGGUCGGAAAGGUGCUCUAUACGUAGCUCCUUCGACGAGUCGAGUUGUUUGGGAAU
rnacentral:sRNA from 1 species